rnacentral:rRNA from 1 species
UCGAGAAUCUUCGGCAAUGGGCGCAAGCCCGACCGAGCGACGCCGCGUGCGGGAUGAAGGCCUUCGGGUUGUAAACCGCUGUCAGUGGGGAGCAAAUGCCAUGGGGUUCUCCCCAUGGUUUGAGCGAUCCGCAGAGGAAGCGCAGGCUAAGUUCGUGCCAGCAGCCGCGGUAAGACGAACUGCGCGAACGUUAUUCGGAAUCACUGGGCUUAAAGAGUUCGUAGGCGGCCCUGAAAGUUGGGUGUGAAAUCCCACGGCUCAACCGUGGAACUGCGCUCAAAACUACAGGGCUCGAGGGAGACAGGGGUGAGCGGAACUGAUGGUGGAGCGGUGAAAUGCGUUGAUAUCAUCAGGAACACCGGUGGCGAAGGCGGCUCACUGGGUCUUCUCUGACGCUGAGGAACGAAAGCUAGGGGAGCGAACGGGAUUAGAUACCCCCGUAGUCC